GAUGAACGCUAGCGGCAGGCCUAACACAUGCAAGUCGAGGGGUAGCAGGAUUAAGCUUGCUUAAUUGCUGACGACCGGCGCACGGGUGCGUAACGCGUAUGCAACCUACCUUAUACUGGGGUAUAGCCCGGAGAAAUUCGGAUUAAUCCCCCAUAGUACUAAUGAAUCGCAUGGUUUAUUAGUUAAAGCAUUGCGGUAUAAGAUGGGCAUGCGUCCUAUUAGCUAGAUGGUGAGGUAACGGCUCACCAUGGCUACGAUAGGUAGGGGGCCUGAGAGGGUGGUCCCCCACACUGGUACUGAGACACGGACCAGACUCCUACGGGAGGCAGCAGUGAGGAAUAUUGGUCGAUGGGCGCAAGCCUGAACCAGCCAUGCCGCGUGCAGGAAGAAUGCCCUAUGGGUUGUAAACUGCUUUUAUUUGGGAAUAAACCUCCUUACGUGUAGAGAGCUGAAGGUACCAAAUGAAUAAGCACCGGCUAACUCCGUGCCAGCCGCCGCGGUAA
rnacentral:rRNA from 1 species